rnacentral:rRNA from 1 species
UACGUAGGGUGCAAGCGUUAAUCGGAAUUACUGGGCGUAAAGCGUGCGCAGGCGGUUGUGCAAGACGGAUGUGAAAUCCCCGGGCUUAACCUGGGAAUUGCAUUCGUGACUGCACGGCUAGAGUGUGUCAGAGGGGGGUAGAAUUCCACGUGUAGCAGUGAAAUGCGUAGAUAUGUGGAGGAAUACCGAUGGCGAAGGCAGCCCCCUGGGAUAACACUGACGCUCAUGCACGAAAGCGUAGGGGAGCAAACAGG